rnacentral:rRNA from 1 species
CCUACGGGUGGCAGCAGUGAGGAAUAUUGGUCAAUGGACGAGCGUCUGAACCAGCCAAGUCGCGUGAAGGAUGACUGCCCUAUGGGUUGUAAACCUCUUUUAUCUGGGAACAACAUGUUCUACGUGUGGGCUUUUGUAUGUACCAUAUGAAUAAGGAUCGGCUAACUCCGUGCCCGCAGCCGCGGUAAUACGGAGGAUUCGAGCGUUAUCCGGAGUUAUUGGGUUUAAAGGGAGCGUAGGUGGAUUGUUCAGUCAGUUGUGAAAGUUUGCGGCUCAACCGUAAAAUUGCAGUUGAAACUGGCAGUCUUGAGUACAGGAGAGGUAGGCGGAAUUCGUGGUGUAGCGGUGAAAUGCUUAGAUAUCACGAAGAACUCCGAUUGCGAAGGCAGCUCACUGGACUGCAACUGACGCUGAGGCACGAAAGUGUGGGUAUCGAACAGGAUUAGAUACCCGGGUAGUC